UAGCUUAAUGGUUAGAGCACUCGGCUGCUAACUGAAAGGUUGGUGAUUCAAACCCACC
rnacentral:tRNA from 1 species